CCUACGGGCGGCUGCAGUGGGGAAUAUUGGACAAUGGGGGGAACCCUGAUCCAGCCAUGCCGCGUGUGUGAAGAAGGCCCUCGGGUUGUAAAGCACUUUCAGUGAGGAAGAACGCCUGGUGGUUAAUACCCAUCAGGAAAGACAUCACUCACAGAAGAAGCACCGGCUAACUCCGUGCCAGCAGCCGCGGUAAUACGGAGGGUGCGAGCGUUAAUCGGAAUUACUGGGCGUAAAGCGCGCGUAGGUGGCUUGAUAAGCCGGUUGUGAAAGCUCCGGGCUCAACCUGGGAACGGCAUCCGGAACUGUCAAGCUAGAGUGAAGGAGAGGAAGGUAGAAUUCCCGGUGUAGCGGUGAAAUGCGUAGAGAUCGGGAGGAAUACCAGUGGCGAAGGCGGCCUUCUGGACUGACACUGACACUGAGGUGCGAAAGCGUGGGUAGCAAACAGGAUUAGAUACCCGUGUAGUC
rnacentral:rRNA from 1 species